rnacentral:rRNA from 1 species
GUGUCAGCAGCCGCGGUAAUACGUAGGGUGCGAGCGUUGUCCGGAAUUACUGGGCGUAAAGAGCUCGUAGGCGGUUUGUCGCGUCGUCCGUGAAAACUUGGGGCUCAACCCCAAGCUUGCGGGCGAUACGGGCAGACUUGAGUACUGCAGGGGAGACUGGAAUUCCUGGUGUAGCGGUGAAAUGCGCAGAUAUCAGGAGGAACACCGGUGGCGAAGGCGGGUCUCUGGGCAGUAACUGACGCUGAGGAGCGAAAGCGUGGGUAGCGAACAGGAUUAGAAACCCUCGUAGUCC